rnacentral:rRNA from 1 species
UACGUAGGUGGCAAGCGUUGUCCGGAAUUAUUGGGCGUAAAGCGCGCGCAGGCGGUUCUUUUAAGUCUGAUGUGAAAGCCCACGGCUCAACCGUGGAGGGUCAUUGGAAACUGGAGAACUUGAGUACAGAAGAGGAAAGCGGAAUUCCACGUGUAGCGGUGAAAUGCGUAGAGAUCCGGAGGAACACCAGUGGCGCAGGCGGCUCUCUGGGUCGGCCCUGACGCUGAGGCGCGAAAGCGUGGGGAGCAAACAGG